AAUCGUCAUCGGCGUUUGAAAAAUCACAAUCGGUCGACCUCUACAACACACAACUCUGACACAGUGUUCAUUAAUGACAGAAACAUUUUAAUGUUGGACCUGAUAUUAGUCACAUAUCAGCAGGGAACAUACCAUCUCCUCAGGUUAUCUGACAAUACACUAGUACCCCUCAACCCAGUACAGCCAUAGAGAGGUACCCCUCAACCCAGUACAUCCAUAGAGAGGUACCCCUCGACCCAGUACAUCCAUAGAGAGGUACCCCUCGACCCAGUACAUCCAUAGAGAGGUACCCCUCGACCCAGUACAUCCAUAGAGAGGUACUCCUCAACCCAGUACAUCCAUAGAGAGGUACUCCUCAACCCAGUACAUCCAUAGAGAGGUACUCCUCAACCCAGUACAUCCAUAGAGAGGUACCCCUCAACCCAGUACAUCCAUAGAGAGGUACCCCUCAACCCAGUACAUCCAUAGAGAGGUACCCCUCAACCCAGUACAUCCAUAGAGAGGUACCCCUCAACCCAGUACAUCCAUAGAGAGGUACCCCUCAACCCAGUACAUCCAUAGAGAGGUACCCCUCAACCCAGUACAUCCAUAGAGAGGUACCCCUCAACCCAGUACAUCCAUAGAGAGGUACCCCUCAACCCAGUACAUCCAUAGAGAGGUACCCCUCAACCCAGUACAUCCAUAGAGAGGUACCCCUCAACCCAGUACAUCCAUAGAGAGGUACCCCUCAACCCAGUACAUCCAUAGAGAGGUACCCCUCAACCCAGUACAUCCAUAGAGAGGUACCCCUCAACCCAGUACAUCCAUAGUGAAGUCCUGUAAGUUUCCAUUGCGUUUUGCUCCGCAGACUGGCAGCAGCCAUCAGUCUGGCAGCAGGUCAUCAGUCUGGCAGCAGUCAUCAGUCUGGCAGCAGGCCAUCAGUCUGGCAGCAGGCCAUCAGUCUGGCAGCAGGCCAUCAGUCUGGCAGCAGGCCAUCAGUCUGGCAGCAGGUCAUCAGUCUGGCAGCAGGUCAUCAGUCUGCUAAUAGGAGGCUACUACGACCCUGGUAUUUGCUAGAUAACACACACACACACUGUAGUAGAUACUUAGUCGUGACUUACAAACUGACUAUUCAUGGAGUCCAGCAACACUCUGUAACC